rnacentral:misc_RNA from 1 species
UCUCCGUUGGUGAACCAGCGGAGGGAUCAUUGCUGGAAAACAGGCCUCCGGGCCCUACCCAGAAACCCUUUGUGAACUUAUACCUAAAUGUUGCCUCGGCACUGGUUGGCUUCUUUGGAAGUCCCUUGCUUUUACAGCGAGGAGCAGACCGGCCGGUGGCCCCCUAUAAACCUCUGUUUUUUGUAAAUCAUCUGAGUAAACAACUAUAAAUGAAUCAAAACUUUCAACAACGGAUCUCUUGGUUCUGGCAUCGAUGAAGAACGCAGC